rnacentral:rRNA from 1 species
GAUGAACGCUAGCUACAGGCUUAACACAUGCAAGUCGAGGGGAAACGAUAUUGGGAGCUUGCUUCCGAUAGGCGUCGACCGGCGCACGGGUGAGUAACGCGUAUCCAACCUGCCCACCACUUGGGGAUAACCUUGCAAAAGUAAGACUAAUACCCAAUGACGUCCAUAGAAGACAUCUGAAAUGGAUUAAAGAUUUAUCGGUGAUGGAUGGGGAUGCGUCUGAUUAGCUUGUUGGCGGGGUAACGGCCCACCAAGGCGACGAUCAGUAGGGGUUCUGAGAGGAAGGUCCCCCACAUUGGAACUGAGACACGGUCCAAACUCCUACGGGAGGCAGCAGUGAGGAAUAUUGGUCAAUGGGCGAGAGCCUGAACCAGCCAAGUAGCGUGCAGGAUGACGGCCCUAUGGGUUGUAAACUGCUUUUAUAAGGGAAUAAAGUGAGUCUCGUGAGACUUUUUGCAUGUACCUUAUGAAUAAGGACCGGCUAAUUCCGUGCCAGCCGCCGCAGUAA